UACGGAGGGUGCAAGCGUUAAUCGGAAUUACUGGGCGUAAAGCGUGCGCAGGCGGUUUGUUAAGUCCGCUGUGAAAUCCCCGAGCUCAACUUGGGAAUUGCAGUGGAUACUGGCAAGCUGGAGUAUGGUAGAGGAAGGUGGAAUUCCCGGUGUAGCAGUGAAAUGCGUAGAGAUCGGGAGGAACACCAGUGGCGAAGGCGCCUUCUGGACCAAUACUGACGCUCAUGCACGAAAGCGUGGGGAGCAAACAGG
rnacentral:rRNA from 1 species